GUACAUUUCAACAGCAUGUAUACUAAAAUUGGAAUGGUACAGAGAAGAUUAGCAUGGCCCCUGUGCAAGCAUGCUGUAAAUUUGUGAAACCUUAAAAGAAUAA